UAGGGAAUAUUGCAUAAUGGGCGAAAGCCUGAUGCAGCAACGCCGCGUGUGCGAUGAAGGCCUUCGGGUUGUAAAGCACUUUUGACCGGGAAGAGGAAGGACGGUACCGGUCGAAUAAGCCUCGGCUAACUACGUGCCAGCAGCCGCGGUAAAACGUAGGAGGCGAGCGUUAUCCGGAUUUACUGGGUGUAAAGCGCGUGCAGGCGGUAGGCUAAGUUGGGUGUGAAAGCUCCUGGCUCAACUAGGAGAGGUCGCUCAAGACUGGCCAACUGGAGAGCAGUAAGGGAAGGUGGAAUUCCGGGUGUAGUGGUGAAAUGCGUAGAUAUCCGGAGGAACACCAGUGGCGAAAGCGGCCUUCUGGACUGCAUCUGACGCUCAGACGCGAAAGCUAGGGGAGCAAACG
rnacentral:rRNA from 1 species